rnacentral:rRNA from 1 species
GACGAACCGUGCGAACGUUGUCCGGAAUCAUUGGGCGUAAAGGGCGCGUAGGUGGCGGGACAAGCGUGCGGUGAAAGCUCGGGGCUCAACCCCGGGUCGGCCGUGCGAACUGUUUUGCUUGAGCACUGUAGAGGCAGGCGGAAUUCCGGGUGUAGCGGUGGAAUGCGUAGAGAUCCGGAAGAACACCGGUGGCGAAGGCGGCCUGCUGGGCAGUGGCUGACACUGAGGCGCGACAGCGUGGGGAGCAAACAGG